rnacentral:rRNA from 1 species
GCAAUUCGACUUGGACCGAUUAUUCUUCUCUUGUUUUCUUUUGUUGGGCUUUCUUUUAUACUAGUUGAAAUAUCAUUUUGUUAUUGUAGUUUUUUGAUUUAAUUUUUGUUGCUAUAGUUUAUUGGUACUGUAAGGGGUUGAUGAUUUAUUUUGUAGAAGCCGAUUUUAUUUUUUGUACCUUGUGUAUCAGGGUUUAUAGAAUUUUAUUAUUUAUUUUUAUUUCCCGAUUAUGGAGGAGUUAAUGGUCUAUUCUGGUUAGUGUUUCAUCAUUAUCAGUAAUGGGUUGUUAGUAGUGAGAUGUUAUUCGUCUUUGUUGGUUUCUGGUUUUUCAAGAAAUGAAUUCAAUUCAUGUAUUUUAUUUAAAGUUUAUUAUUGGUUUAUGGCUUUUUAUUUGGUGUUAAGAUUGGGGGGGACUAGCUCUCUGUUUUAUAGUUAUAACUCUUUGUUAUGUAUUUUAUUUUUGUGGAUUUUAUGGUGAUUCUCGAUUUGAUUAUGUUAAAAUUUUAUUUGUUCUAUUUUUUAUUUGUUUGGGUGGUUUAUUUUGUUUAUUGAAAUGUUUUUUUUAAUUUGUUUUGUUUAGUAAUUAUUAUGGAAUUAGUAAAUAUUAUUUUUGUGUUGUUUAUUGGGUGUUAAUUCCUUUUAAGGAAUUAGGCAAGUUUUUCUAUGUCCGCCUGUUUAACAAAAACAUCUCUUCUUGGUAGUUUUUGAGGUAAGGCCUGCCCGCUGACCAUGAGUUGAAGGGCCGCGGUAUUUUGACCGUGCAAAGGUAGCAUAGUCAUUAGUUCUUUAAUUGUGAUCUGGUAUGAAUGGUUUGACGAGACAUAGUCUGUCUUGAUAGGUUUGAUUGUUGAAUUUGUGGUUUGAGUUAAAAUUCUUAGAUGUUUUUAUGGGACGAGAAGACCCUAUAGAGUUUUACAUUUGAUUUAUAUUUUUGGUGUUUGUUUUUAUUUUUUGUAUGUUUUAUGUUUUGUUGGGGUGAUGGGAGGAAUUUUUUUAACUCCUCUUAGUGGUGCUAUACUGAUUUGUAUAUGUUUUGAUCCAUUUAUUUUGAUUGUAAGACUAAAUUACCUUAGGGAUAACAGCGUUAUCCUCCUUGAGAGUUCUUAUUGGCGGGGGGGGUUGCGACCUCGAUGUUGGAUUAAGAUUAAUUUUUGGUGUAGGAGCUGAAUUGAUUAGGUCUGUUCGACCUUUAAAAUCUUACAUGAUCUGAGUUCAGACCGGCGUGAGCCAGGUUGGUUUCUAUCUAUAAUGAAUUUUAUGCCUUAGUACGAGAGGACCGGGUAUUUGGAAUAAUUUUAUUAUUAGUGGUUUUUAAUAAUUGUUGCUAUUUUGGCAGAUAAGUGCGUUGGAUUUAGAAUCUUUUAAUGUAAGUUU